rnacentral:lncRNA from 1 species
GAAUUCUCUAGGCUCUAACCAGGAUGGUAAGCAAACAUAACUUUCAAAGAUCUCUCACCCGUCUUUAAAAUUUCUGAUGGCUUUCAAAUACUUCGCUGAGACGCAGACCAGCUAUGAGGUCUGAUGUGUGACCUCUCUCUCCCCUGUUACCGACCUCCCUUCCCAACUCUCCCGGCACGGUAAGGGGGCAUCACGGCGUUCGCGGCGGAGUGAGGCCGGGCAGAGUUACACGACCCACUCGCUCCCCGGCCGAGCUAGGACCCUGCAGCUUGUGAGCUCUAAGCAGCCGCGGGCAGGCCAGGCGAGGCUGCGGCCUUACAGUGGCCUCCUGGAAGCCCUCCCGACGCCCACGGCCCCUUGGUGCCGCAGCACAAUCCCUCCCCUCGCGAGCCUCUCCCGGGCUGCGCUCACCGGCUACCAUCGACGGUGCCUUCUCCGCGAAGUUACGGAUGAACUUGGCCAUGGUCUAAGGUGGAAGGUACGUCUCCCCGAACCGCCGGCUGAAUGUCACCCCCGGAAGGACCCGCGGCAGGACCCCUUCCCCAUUUCCAAGCCAGUAUCAGAAUUGGGAUCCAAUCCGGUUUUUCAAACAAGCCAGUAGGAGCUGUGCGGACAAGAGGAAGAAAGUCAUGUGUGUUGAGGGUGUUGCACUGUGCCAGGCAUUUUGUAAUUUGGUGGAAGCAUGCUUUGGGCAUUAUCCCCUUAGAGACCAAGAUUCCUAAAUAGUCAUAGAAGGAGUCAGUUGCAAGAUAAAUACGCAAAGG